CACAGCGCUGAAAUACAAGGGGGGGAACACAGCGUCAGAAGGGUUUUCCCAUUAAAAGUGGGAGAAAUAAAGCACAGAGGGAAAACCUUCCCUUGCUCUCCAACGGAUUUGUGUCCACAUUCCCUCACCGAGUUUCCUUCAGCCCUCUAGAACAUGAAUGGUGAAAUUGCCUGGGAAUAAUACAAACAGUGUUUGUCUGAGAAACGCAAAAGAAAACUCAUGCGGGGUGAGAGGUCUCCGUGUUCAGAGCACAAGAGGGUUGCGAAAUGCGUAACUCACUUCCGAAAGAUGGUCAUCCCCGAGUGUCGAAAAAUGCCUUGCGCUUCAAGAGUUAACCUGUAAACAGGAAGAAUGUCUCUGUGAACAAGAUAUAGUGAUCCAAUCAGAAUGAGCCAAGGAAAGGAAGAGAAUAGGAGAAAGGAACUCUUGAGACACUUUCCAGAUUUGUCAGCCAAACGCCAAGGGGAAUAAAUCUGGUGACUGCUUUCAAGCCGGCACCUUCCUUAACACCAACCACCAGAGGGAGACCCCACCACCAAGCAAACUACAGAGCCUGCCCUAUACUUGCGGGAAGUGGCCAGAUUCCAAAAAUACGAAGCCUCGUAGACCUGUGCAUAUGGAACACUAACACGUACUUUGUGCAUUUGUUUUGGAAUUGACAUUUUCCAUUCUCGUAACAACCAAGAACUUUAGAGAUCCGGUUUUGACUCCGACGGUUUUCUUUCAAAUAGCUUUGUAUACAUUUUUCGGAUUGUAAUCUAUCCAUAAUACGAUUUUUAUGGAACUGAAACGGAUUUUUUAGCAGGCGAUCUCAUUACAAGAUAAUCAAUCUCAUUACAAAUGCCUGUUAGAACGUCUCACCACAGCAUCCAGAUCGAAAUGAAACUUCGCAGCUGGAGAAAAGUUCUUCGGAAAUGUUAGCAUCAUCAGCUCCAACCCCUCUGCUCUAAGAACUCUGAAGAAAAACUGCCAAUUUUACUCAGCAAAUACCCUCCUAAGAAACUUUUGUGACAGCCAUUCCAGAGCUGUUUACAAGUAGACAGAAAACGAGGCCAAAUGUUUAUGAAAGUUGGCUUGAUUCGAAGGGCUCCUGGGAGGCCUCUCUCCCUAAAAUAUUUCCCAACUGAAAUUCUUCAGUUUGGAUUUCGCUCAUUUAACGUAAGCCAAAAGUCCUCAAUUAAAAGGCAGUUCCUUGGGACUCCUCAUUUAUUCAACCACCAAGAAUUCCACGAGGCUGUCUGCAGAAGGCAUAGUGCAGGACAUGGCAGAAAUCAUAAGGCCUUGCAGAGACCAUAAAAGAUAAAGGCAAUUAUCAGUGACUAAGUACCUCUGGAGACAGUACUUUAUAUAUUUAUCUUGUGUAUUUAUUUUUCUUUAAGAGAUAUUGGAAACUUAGCAUGAAAUAUAGGAAAGGGUGGAAUCUAAAGAUUGUGACUCCAUCAAGGACAUACCUGGGUAAGAGCCCUAGAGGACCAAGAGUCAAAUGGGAUCUUCAGGAGCCAAAGAUGUCAGGGAGGGGAGUAGCAGUGAAUGACAUGGAAUAGAUGAGGAAGAAAGUCUUUUGCCUUACUGAAAACUCCGUCCAGGAUCAGACCCCCAUGACUUUGUUUAAACUAACACUUACCAAGAACUUUCUGUUUACCAGGCAAGGUCUCAAAGGAUUUACCUUCAUUUUUCCUUAGAACACAGCCAUGAUGGUGAUAACCUCAUUUAUCAGAGGAUGAAACCAAGGCUUGGGAAGGUUAGGAAAUGUCCCCCGUAACACAGCUAAUGAGUAGCACAGCUCCUCACUAAAACCCAUGCAGUCUGACUCAGGAGCCUGUACCCUUAAUAUAAACACUCGAGGGUGCUGUGUUAGUUUCCUAUUACAGUCAUCAACAAUGAUCACAAACUGGGUGGCUUAAAACAAUGGAAAUGUAUUCUCCCACUGGUCUGCAGGUCGAAGUCUGACAUAGGUCUCAUUGGGCUAAGAUCAAAGUGCCAGCAGGCUGUCUUUCUUUUGGGAGGUUCUUAGGGGAGAAUGAUGCCUUUCUUUUCCAUCUUCUGGUGGCUUCCCCCAUUCCUUGGCUUGUGGCCCCUUCUUCCAUAAGGAAAGCCAGCCACAUAGCAUCUCUUUGCUCUUGUGUGUGCUUCACAUCUCUUUGUCUGACUCUUCUCUUCUGCCUCUCUCUUCAACUGUUAAGGACUCCUGUGAUUACAAUGGGGCCACCCACAUAAUCCAGAAGAAUCUCCCUGUUUUAAGGUCAGAUGGGUAGAACCCUUAUUUCCAUUCUUCAACUUUAAUUCCCCGUCGCCACGUAACCUAACAUCUUCACAGGUUCCAGGGAUUAGGAUAUGGACCCCUUUGGGGAGCCAUUAUUCGGCCUACCACAGAUGCCUUAACAUCUUACUCUAUUUGUGUGCCCCGUACGUAUGAACAGCCACCUGCAAAUGACUGGCUCAAACAGAUGUGCCUUGUGUCCCACCUGCUGACUGCCCUCCUCUUCCUCCUUCCCAUUCCCUGUGUCAGAGAUGCCAUGGUCUGGAAUCUCUAGUCUCAGUCCUUGACUCCAGCCUGAUUCAGUCAAUUCUAGUGCAAGAGGAGCCCAGGGUAGCAGGCAUCUUGGCUGCACAAAAUCACUAGGUGGAUAAUUGCUGUUUGAUUCUAUUCCUGUAAUAAGAGUGUUCAAAAGACUCAGGGAUGAUACUCUAAAAUGUAAAUGAGUCUUCUAUCGGGCUUUGGUGCAACCAAGAGCUAUAUCUGUGCUUUUGUAGCCAUCAGUUACAUGUGUUUCUUACUUUCUGAGUAGCCAAGCGCCAAGCAAAGAGACAGAAAAGGCCUGAGGAGGAGCUUGGCCUUGACUCUUCUCACUGUUUCAUUCAUCAUUAGUAACCAAAAUCCUUUAAAACCUGCAAAAGGACUAUACGUAGCAGGCAUAGAAAAGGCAGAAAAGAAAGCUGAGCAGAUAAACUAGUCCCCAACCUGUACAAACUACAUAAUGUGCAGGGCCCAAUGGAAACUGAAGACACAGAGGCCCUUGCAGGGAAAAAAAAAGUGCUUCAAGGACACUAAAAUACAAACAUAUUUUCCUUUAAAAAUACUUUAUUACUUAUAAAACAUAAUAUCAAUAAUAGUGAUAUAUGAGGAACAACAUAAACUUACAAAUAGCACAAAACACAUUUUUGUGUCAUAAUUUAAUAUGAUACAAUAAAUAACAAUACACUAUUGGGGCACCUGGGUGGCUUAGUCGGUUAAGCAUCCGACUUCAGUUCAGGUCAUGAUCUCAUGGUUUGUGGGUUCGAGCCCUGCAUCGGACUCUGUACUGACAGCUCAGAGCCUGGAGCCUGCUUUGGAUUCUGGGUCUCCCUCACUCUCUGCCCCUCCCCCCCUCGCACUCUGUCUCUCUCUCUCUCAAAAAAAAAUAAACAAACAUUAAAAAAAAUUUUUUUUAAAUAGCAAUACACUAUUAAUGUGAUUUUUCUGGCUCACUUUUCUGCAAAUUCAUGUAUGAAUGUAAUGUUUAGCAACAUUAUUUUUAGUCUACAUAAAUGAAAAUAGAUUCAGUAAGUAGCUCAACAAAAAAGCAAGAUUGCAAAUGAUUUUUGUUCGUUCUUAAUUUUGACAAGAAUCUUUGGUGCAAAUUUUACUCUUUCUGUUUGCAGUAUUUAUAGGCUGUGACAACAUUGGGAUAGAUGUCUGAUAAACGAUUCGGAAAUACAAAUUUUAGCAUAUCUAGAGCUGAUGAUUCUCUAGGAGCAAUUUUAACAAAAAGAUUUAACUCUUCAUAUGAAUCAGUUUCAUGGAAGUCUGAAUUUUAUUUUAAAUGUAAAUUUAUACAAUGAUAUUUUGAUGAUUCUUCUGAUAUUCCCUGUAAAUUGUGGAGAUCAUAAAAGAAAUCAAAAAGGGCUUUAAAAUGUAUAUACAAUUCAAAAUGCCUGUUUAUACAUUCUAUAGCCGUAUUGCCAAUUUUAUGUAAAAUUUGCAUUUUCAGUUAUCUUCCUUGUUAACAAAUGGUUCAUCCAAAGUUCAUAUGAAAAUAGUGUUCUUUUCCAAUGACAAUAGUUAAGUGUGAUUUCUAUUUCUAAGCCUGUGGAUAUGCAUUUUGCAAUGUUUCAGCAUUCAAAACCAAGGAUUUUUAAAUCCUUGAAGAAUCCUAAUAACUCUGAUUAAUGCUUUAUUGCAAUGUUCAUGUGUACGCUUUUAUUGUGUGAUAAUUUACUUACAAAGCUGGCUGCCCAAGCACCAGAAGUUUCCGUCUCAAGGUUCAGGCUGUAGAGUUAAUACUUGUGCAGAUGCCCCAGGGACAGGCUCCAGGGACAGUCAGCCAGGCUGACCUCCCACAGGUUCUUGGGUGGAGCCCCUCUUCUAGCCCAGGGCCAAGGCUACCACUACACCCUCAAAACCUGCUUUGUUGUGUUUCUGUUGUUGUGGCUGCAUCAUGGCCACCAAUGGGGACCCGGGUCCUGACCCGGCCACCUCCAGAUGAUCCUCAGGCAUAUGCAUGUGCUUUGAGGCACCAGGCCAAUUGCUCAGCACCCACACCGUUCACUCGCCAUGCCCGUUGGCAUAUGCCCACAUGUGCACACACUACUACCUAGCAUAUCUCUGCCACUCACACACCUGCUCCGUUGUCCCAUCCAACCUCAUCACAAAGCACAAGUAUAAAUAUAAAGUUAUUAGCAAUUUCAAGACGGUGACAGCAUAGCCUAAAACCAAGCCUGGAACCCUUCUGACCUUAGGGUCCUGUGCCACUCACUGCACAGAUCACCAGCCAUGAAACCAGCCCUGCCUUCAGCCUUCCAAAGGAAAAAGAAAGGCAGGAGGUGAAAUGGAAAUGAAAAUCUGCAACGAGUUCUUCCAAGAAGUUACAAUGGCAAGGGGCCCAGCGUCCCACUCACCCCAAAACCUACCCUGUGUUACUCGCUGUAUCCAACCUCUACCCACAUCUCUUCUGCCACAGGCACCAAAUUCAAUCCCGCCAGAGUUCCUGUCUAGAUGUGGGUACCACCACCGGGAUAUGGCAAAGACUGCUGGUUGUUCAUCCUAAAACACCUCCACCUUUGUUGUAGUAAUGGAGUUUGAGGUGCCCCUAUGGCUGACCAGCUAAAGACUACAUAUCUUAGCUCAUUUGUGGCUCAGUGUGGUCAUGUUACUAAGUUCUCAGCAAUAUAUUAUAAGCAGAUGACUCUUCUAUUUUGCAGGCUUAAACGUGACUGGCUGCCAUGUGCUUCCUCUCUUUGCCUUCCCAUAAGAUGGAGCACAGCUACAUGGCUCAGCCAGCUUCAAUCACUCAGAUAAGGACCAUAAUCUAGGAACUGGAGAAGCAAAAAAAAAAAAAAAAAAAAGAAAAAAAAAAGAAAAAAAAUUGGAUGGAACUCAAGUCUUUGGAUGAGUUCAUAGAGGAAGUUUGAGCUUACAAACUGGAAAAUUCAUCUUGGUUCUACUGCUUAACAGAGAAACAAAGUGUUGUUUCCUUUAAGCCACUGUAUUUCAAGAUCUCUUUUGUUACAGCAGAAUACAAUGAGUCACAUCUUUUUCCAAUUUUCCCGAGUUCCAGUGCCUCCAUCCCAAUCCUCCUGGGUCCAGCAGGGCACCAACCUGUUUCAUAAUCAACUGGGGGAAACACACGAGAAAGGAAGGACAAAUACUGGAAUAGAAGAUUUAGUAUUCCUUAGUCUGUGAUACAGUCAAGAGAUGAGUCGGUGAGCCAUUUCCCACAACUCCGGUGGGUCUCAGAGGGGGACAGAUAUCAAAACUGCUUUUGCAAGCUGCCCUUUAUGUGUCCUGAACUUUCGAGCUCAUUCCUCUUUGUCUCCUUUGCACUUCACCUUCACCCUCUAUGAGCUCAUCCACUUUGCUUUCAGCCUGGUAUCUAUACAAACAACUCCCAAGCUCUUGUUGCCCUGUUCAAACCUGUCUCCUGAGCUUCAGGUACCUACACCCAACUGAUACGAUCUGGAAAGUCACAACCCAAAUGGUUCUUCCUUCUAAACUGUUCUCUUCCCUGUGGUUUCUACUGUGGCCAGUGGUACAACCACCACCCUCCAUCUUCUCCCAACCAAACACCUUCUGUCUUUUCCUCUCCCACGAGAAUCAUCAAAUUCUCCAAUGUGUGAGUCCUUCAGAACAGGGACUUUGUUUUGUAUGCUCCUGAAUCCCCAGUGGCCGAAACAACCCCAGUGACAAUAGGCACUCCAUACACAUUUGCUGUAUGCAUGAAUGGCCCGUAGCUGCUUUUCCAUACCUGCUGAAGGAAGGGGUGAAUGCGUUUCUUUAAGCUGGGUUCUCAAAAAACAAGAACAUAAAAAUAAUUCCCUUUUACUUAAAUCUUUCUAAUAAUUUGUUCAUUUAAACACGGCUGUUAAAUCAUAUGAAACAAUUUUGUUUUCUAUCAGAACAAGAUACUAUUUGUUUUGUUAUAAUGUUCAAAUGUUAAUCCUCUGGCUGUUGAGUUUCCCAGAUAAGCAAGACAUUUUCUAGUCUUCAGAUUUUAUCCUAUAAAAAUCUGUAAAAAUCCUCUAUUCAAAAGUUAUACUUAGCAGGGAGUCUUCUGAAAUCCAAACUGAGAAAAUUGGAAACAGCUUAACAACCCCAAAGAAUAAUAUUUCAUAAAAUCCUAUGGAGUAAAAAGCCAGAUCCUGUGGGGCCACUGGCUGUAUGUAUUGGGCAAUCUCAGAAAGCAUUAACUCUUUCGAGCCCUCUAGAUGCUACUUAGUGGACAGAAGUAACUUGUCAAAUGUUCCCCAAGAUUUUUGAGUGAAGAUCUUUUCAUAUUUCAUCUAAAACAUCAUAUCCAUUUGAACUGAUUUUAGUAGGACAAGGUUCUGAACGAUACAUGUUGCUUUAUUGCUAGAAGUAUGUGGCCUUGCAUUUUACUUUCUGUCAAGUGUCCAGCCAGAUCAAUUUGCAUUGCCUGCUUCAUAAAAAUAGCAAAAAUGUGCUACAAAUAACAAAUAAAUAAAA